GAUGAACGCUAGCGGCAGGCUUAAUACAUGCAAGUCGUGGGGCAGCAGGUCUGUAGCAAUACAGAUGCUGGCGACCGGCAAACGGGUGCGGAACACGUACACAACUUUCCUUUAAGUGGGGAAUAGCCCAGAGAAAUUUGGAUUAAUACCCCGUAACAUAGUGAAAAGGCAUCUUUUUAUUAUUAUAGCAGCAAUGCGCUUAAUGAUGGGUGUGCGUCUGAUUAGGUAGUUGGCGGAGUAAUAGCCCACCAAGCCUACGAUCAGUAACUGGUGUGAGCGCACGACCAGUCACACGGGAACUGCGACACGGGCCCGACUCCUACGGGAGGCAGCAGUAAGGAAUAUUGGGCAAUGGACGCAAGUCUGACCCAGCCAUGCCGCGUGGAGGAUGAAGGUCCUCUGGAUUGUAAACUUCUUUUAUCUGGGAAGAAAUCCAUCUUUUCUUGGGUGGUUGACGGUACCAGAUGAAUAAGCACCGGCUAACUCCGUGCCAGCCGCCGCCGUAAGAC
rnacentral:rRNA from 1 species